CUCGGUAUUGAGAGGAAGAUUCAGGAGGUCCAUAUGCAUCAACACCCGAAUGAACUCCUUGUGGAACAAGAGGAGGAGGCAAGGAGGAACCAGGAACAUCAUAAGUCGGCUGCGUAACACGAGAAGAAGUUGUUGGUCAAGUCUUAACAGACGAAUGAGCCACAUUCACAGAAAAAGUUUCAGUAAUCUGAGGAUUAAUCCGCUCUAAGUAAGUUUCAUGAGUCAUGAGCAAGGAUUCAAGCUGAACAAAUUAGCACGGUUCUGUUCUAUUGUUUAUCGAAGUAACAAAAGACUCAAUCAGAAGGAAGUCCCUCCAUCACUAAUCGAAUUUGUUCUCUUCCAAAAAUGACUUCACUAAUGGCAGCCAAUGAGUGAACAAGCGCUUUGAUGCGAGAAACAAACUCAGAAACAAAUUGAGUGCCCUUCUUCAAAUUACCAAGUUCCGAAAGCAACAGUUGACUCCUAGCAUGAAUCAGCGAGUCAAAAAAUGUGUGAAUUCCAUCCCAAAUAUGCCAUGCAUGACGAAGACCUAUAACUUGGGAUUGAACAAACUCCAAUAGUGAUUGCAACAACCAUGACAUAAGGUGCUGGUCCUGUUCUUCCCACUAAAGAAAAGCAUGAUUCAGAUGACCAGCAUCACGAUCUUCCUCAGAUAAAAACUAUAAAGGCACUUGUAGAUUAACCACAAACCAUUCAAGACGAUGAGAGGCAAUAACCGCUUCAAUUUGUUGCUUCCAAAAAAAAUAAUUUUUCUCACACAACUUUCCCAAGAUUACUUGAGUAAAGGAAAUCGUUGACGGAGGAAUAACCGGCGAUGGAAGAGGCGACGACAUAGAUGUAUAAUCCUCCAUGAAAACAGAAUCAAUAACAACAAAUCAACAAGCAACUCAGCGACAAUCAGCGACGAAACAGCGAAAACCACAAUCCGAAGGAUGAAAGAUUAAAUCGCAAACCACAAACAUCAAUGAAGGUGCAAAUCAGUGGAGAAGAAGAGCAAUCUGAAACCCUAGGCCACAAAAUCAGUGAUGAAGAACGAAGAUUCCUUGAUUAUCGCAGAUCCACCACAAAACCGCAACAAGUAAAUUAAAACCUCAACGAAUCAACAAUGAGAAAGGAGAUUCUACGAUGAAAUGCAAAUCACAAAUCAGCGAAUCCACCACGAACAGCGACGAUUUUAUUAUUGAUGUAUUUAAUAUUCAUUUAGUUCACUCUAUACUUUGCAAAUUUUGUUUAAUUAUUUCUUAGAUUUUUGUAAAUAAGUUGAAAAACCACGGAACCAAACUUAACCAUUAAUGAACGGUUCAGUUCGGUUCCUAAAUAAAAUUUGUGAUUAAUCAAGUAAAAUCAAAUCAUAUAUUUAUAUUCGGUUCGAUCACUAAAUUGCAUAAAAAACCAAACAGAACUUUUACAUCCCUACAGUUGCCUAGCUGAAUUGCAUCUGCAACCAGACUAAAUCGAGGUCGAACAAUGCAACCCGCUGAACCGCCCAGGGAAACCCAUUGGCCACUGCUAUAGCAGUCGGUCAAUUAUACCUGUUAGGAACAUAUUUUACUAUGAUUAUCACCUAAAUAUAUUUACUAUCUAUUAAUUAGGAUCCAGGAUCGGUCCUCACAUUUUCUGGGCUCAUGGAAAAUAGAAAUGGGACCCUUAAUUUAUGGAAAACUUCUAAAUAUAUCAAAUGCUAAUAUUUGUAGAAAAAAAUUAAUAUAUUACAAACCUCUGUAGUAUUUACAUGAUACCAUUCCCAAAAUAAGUAUUAGCAAAAAAUGGAAAAGAAUAUUAAAAUGAUAAUUGAUAUAUAAGGAAGCCACUACCAUUUUUACGUGAUAUCAUUAUCCACGAAUUGGUCACACGAUAAAGGCAGAAUUUCUUUAAAAAAUAAAACAUAGAGCUUCAUGUCGUAGAUAUAAUGAUUAUGAGAUCAGAGUACAUGGUGAAGGAGGAUAAUUUUUAUGUUGACUUGAGCUUUACCCUCACAAAGGGUUGGGUUCCAACUCCUUGGCUAAUAUGGAGAUUUCCUGAAAACAGCAAUCACAUUAAAACCAGAAAUAAAAAUGCAUGUACGAAGAAAAAAGAUGGCAGAGGGAAGUGCAUAACACAGCAACAGCAGCAACAUUUUUCUGUUACUGGAAACGUGAAUGACACAACUAAACAGCAGCAAGCCAGCAACAGAAACAGGAACAAUCGAACAAUGUUGGCAUAUGGGUAAUAGUCAAUAGCCAUUAGGGAUUAGGAGGUAUGGGCUUGACACAUGCUGCGCUCUUAGGGUUAGUUUGAGAAUUAGAUUUUGGAGAGGAAGAAAGAGAAAGAGAAGGCUUGGGAGCCAUGAAAUACACUUGUGAGAUGACUCCCAAGCCUUCCUUUUCCCUUCAUUCCUCUCCAAAAUCUAACUCCCAAACUAACCCUUAGAGUCGGCCCAGCUACGAAUACAUGAGAGCACAUAUGCUGUCCACAGAGUGUAUCACUACUGCUUGUAAUUGAUUACAAAAAAUGUAUUUAAAUGAAUUUUUUUUAAUAAUUAAUUAUUUUUCUGACUAAUCACAAGCAGUGGUACAUGAAGUGGUACACUUUUUUGGGACAGAAGAUGUCCACCCCUAAUACAUGUAUAAUUUGACUACUUAGUCUGUAGCUUAACUGAUGAGUUGGUGGCCGAACUAAGAAACCAGUAAUCUAGUACUCCUAGAUAACCAGUAUAGUUUUGAAUAACAUUUAUAUUUUAAGAAGUGGCUUGGAAACAAAGAAAAAGGGAAGGUGCAAAAUGAACCAACCAUGAUGCCAUGGCUUAAUACACUAUUUGAUAUGAUUGGAACAAAUCAAUAUAAAUUCUUUAGUUUAAUAUAUACACUUCCUAAUUCCAGCAACUGUAAUUGUUUCUACAGCUGACAGAAUAAAAGUAAAGAGAAACAACACCUCCAUGAGCCAUUUGAAGUUCACUGUAUGCAAAGAAUGUUGUUAUAAACAGGAUAAUAUUCAUCCAAUUGAAGUUGGUCUAAGAUCUGUUGUGUAGCCCACAGAUAAGAAGAAUGGCCUUCUAUUCGAUCUGUCACGUCAAUCUGCAAAUGGAAAUACUCAAAAUUUUAUGAAUGAAAGCACAAGACAAACAUCUUAAACAUUUAUAAGUUAUCAAAUAGGAUGGAGAAAUAUCUUACAUUUUGGAUCCCAGGAAUAUCGAUUGGUUGGAUUCCAGCCAAUCCUUUUGUAAGUAGACUGUUCAAAAAUAAAAGAAAGAAAUUAGUUUUUACUCUGUCUAUUUAAAAUAAGGUUAAAUUAUACUCCAAACCUUUAGGCUUAAUUAUGUUUUUUUAUCCUUGAAAGUUGACUGAGUUAUGGUUUAGACACUAAAACUUAAGUGCUCGGUAUUGAGAGGAAGAUUCAGGAGGUCCAUAUGCAUCAACACCCGAAUGAACUCCUUGUGGAACAAGAGGAGGAGGCAAGGAGGAACCAGGAACAUCAUAAGUCGGCUGCGUAACACGAGAAGAAGUUGUUGGUCAAGUCUUAACAGACGAAUGAGCCACAUUCACAGAAAAAGUUUCAGUAAUCUGAGGAUUAAUCCGCUCUAAGUAAGUUUCAUGAGUCAUGAGCAAGGAUUCAAGCUGAACAAAUUAGCACGGUUCUGUUCUAUUGUUUAUCGAAGUAACAAAAGACUCAAUCAGAAGGAAGUCCCUCCAUCACUAAUCGAAUUUGUUCUCUUCCAAAAAUGACUUCACUAAUGGCAGCCAAUGAGUGAACAAGCGCUUUGAUGCGAGAAACAAACUCAGAAACAAAUUGAGUGCCCUUCUUCAAAUUACCAAGUUCCGAAAGCAACAGUUGACUCCUAGCAUGAAUCAGCGAGUCAAAAAAUGUGUGAAUUCCAUCCCAAAUAUGCCAUGCAUGACGAAGACCUAUAACUUGGGAUUGAACAAACUCCAAUAGUGAUUGCAACAACCAUGACAUAAGGUGCUGGUCCUGUUCUUCCCACUAAAGAAAAGCAUGAUUCAGA
rnacentral:lncRNA from 1 species